CGAACGUUGGCGGCGUGGAUGAGGCAUGCAAGUCGCACGUGAAAGCCGCAAGGUGAGUAAAGUGGCGGACGGACGAGUAACACGUAGUCAAGCUGCCCCAGAGACAGGGAUAACCUCGGGAAACCGAGGCUAAUACCUGAUGGUGCUGUUGGAUCGCAUGGUCUGACAGGUAAAUGCUCGGGAUCCUUCGGGACCGGGUGCUUUGGGAGGUGACUGCGGCGCAUCAGCUAGUUGGCGGGGUAAAGGCCCACCAAGGCAAAGACGCGUAGCCGGCCUGAGAGGGUGGUCGGCCGCACUGGGACUGAGACACUGCCCAGACUCCUACGGGAGGCUGCAGUCGAGAAUCUUCCGCAAUGGGCGAAAGCCUGACGGAGCGACGCCGCGUGCAG
rnacentral:rRNA from 1 species